GGAGGGAGUCUAUGGCGAUGAUGAGGGUGGUCUGGGUGGACGACGAGGAAGGUGAUGACGUAAAGGGGGUAGUCGUUUGAACGUGAGGAAGGUGAUGACGUAAAGAGGGUAGUCGUUUGGACGUGAGGAAGGUGAUGGCGCAGCAGCGAUGGCUAUUUUGGUGGAGCUGGAGCUCGCUGGCUGGGGGAUAGGGUGGUUGACGGACUGUUUGGUUGACGACGUUGCUGCUGGUUCGUGAGGGAUGGUGGGUUGUUGAUGGUGGUCGUGAGACGGAGAGGAAACUGGGGCGACGGUGGUUGCUGGAGGUGGAAGGGUCGUGGUGGGUUUUUUCUUCUUCUCCAAAAAUGGAGAAGAAGACCAACAGUACUGGUCUCUUUCUUUCUUUUUUCAAAAAAUGUCUAA
rnacentral:lncRNA from 1 species